ensembl:processed_transcript growth arrest specific 5
UAGGAAAUACAAGAUAGAGUCCAAGUGAUGAGGCCAAAGCCUGAUGCUAAGGUGGCAUGUGCUGUGCCACUGACUUAACUCAGUAGGACAAUUUUAUUGUGAAUAAUACAUAAGUUCCCUAGGGUAUGACAAUUGCAACCAUAAGUCUCAGGCCUCUUGGCAAGAGAAUUGAUGUGAGCCCAUGGAGACUAGUGAAGACAACUGAACACUGAGAGAAUAGUGUGAAAUAAAAUGAAGAUAAAUAACUGCACUAAUUAUUUUUAAUUUUCAAACAGAUUGGUCAUUCUGAAUUUCCCGUCCUUCAUUCUGAAUUUCAAAGUAAGUCGCAGUCACCUUGUUUUUGUACAGAUUGUAAUAUAGCUUGUAACCAGUGAUGUGAUGAUUCUGCCAAAUGAUACAAAGUGAUAUCACCUUUAAAACCGUUCCAUUUUAUUUCUGAGGUUACUAUACUAACAUGUAAAAUUUAACUACUCUAAGCCAGAGAAGUAAGUCUUUGUUUUCUUAGGGCUCCUGUGACAAGUGGACAUGCAGUGACUGUACCUUUUGUACCUUUGUUUCUGAGGUGCCUGGAUGGAGGCUCAAAUAGAAGAUGGUGUCAGAUAUAUUGUGUUGUCAAAAUUUUGCCAUUAAAGUGUAUUAUAACAUU